rnacentral:rRNA from 1 species
CAGUCGCCGCGGGAAUACGGAGGGAGCUAGCGUUGUUCGGAAUCACUGGGCGUAAAGCGCACGUAGGCGGCUAUUCAAGUCAGGGGUGAAAGCCCGGGGCUCAACCCCGGAACUGCCUUUGAAACUAGGUAGCUUGAAUCUUGGAGAGGCGAGUGGAAUUCCGAGUGUAGAGGUGAAAUUCGUAGAUAUUCGGAAGAACACCAGUGGCGAAGGCGACUCGCUGGACAAGUGUUGACGCUGAGGUGCGAAAGCGUGGGGAGCAAACAGGAUUAGAUACCCGUGUAUCCCUGUUCUUAUACAC